rnacentral:lncRNA from 8 species
AUGAAACGGCGGUGGUAUUCAACAGGUAGGUGGCGAACGUGCGACGCGAUAUUUUCCUGGUUGUAUCUCUCUUACUGUAUCUCUCUUACUGUAUAUAUCUUACUGUGUCUCUCUUGCUGUAUCUCUCUUGCUGUAUCUCUCUUACUGUAUAUAUCUUACUGUAUAUAUCUUGCUGUCUCUCUUGCUGUAUCUCUCUUGCUGUAUCUCUCUUACUGUAUAUAUCUUACUGUAUAUAUCUUGCUGUCUCUCUUGCUGUAUCUCUCUUGCUGUAUCUCUCUUACUGUAUAUAUCUUGCUGUAUCUCUUGCUGUAUCUCUCGCUGUAUCUCUCUUACUGUAUCUCUCUUACUGUAUCUCUCUUACUGUAUAUAUCUUACUGUAUCUCUCUUACUGUAUCUCUCUUACUGUAUCUCUCUUACUGUAUCUCUCUUACUGUAUAUAUCUUACUGUAUCUCUCUUGCUGUAUCUCUCUUACUGUAUAUAUCUUACUGUAUAUAUCUUACUGUAUCUCUCUUACUGUGUCUCUCUUACUGUAUAUAUCUUACUGUAUAUAUCUUACUGUAUAUCUCUUACUGUAUCUCUCUUACUGUAUAUAUCUUACUGUAUAUAUCUUACUGUAUAUAUCUUACUGUAUAUAUCUUGCUGUAUCUCUUGCUGUAUCUCUCUUACUGUAUAUAUCUUACUGUAUCUCUCUUACUGUGUCUCUCUUACUGUAUAUAUCUUACUGUAUAUAUCUUACUGUAUAUCUCUUACUGUAUCUCUCUUACUGUAUAUAUCUUACUGUAUAUAUCUUACUGUAUAUAUCUUACUGUAUAUAUCUUGCUGUAUCUCUUACUGUAUCUCUCUUACUGUGUCUCUCUUACUGUAUAUAUCUUACUGUAUAUAUCUUACUGUAUAUAUCUUGCUGUAUCUCUUGCUGUAUCUCUCUUACUGUAUAUAUCUUACUGUAUAUAUCUUGCUGUAUCUCUUGCUGUAUCUCUCGCUGUAUCUAUCUUACUGUAUAUAUCUUACUGUAUAUAUCUUACUGUGUCUCUCUUACUGUAUCUCUCUUACUGUAUAUAUCUUACUGUAUCUCUCUUACUGUAUAUAUCUUACUGUGUCUCUCUUACUGUAUCUCUCUUACUGUAUCUCUCUUACUCUAUAUAUCUUACUGUAUCUCUCUUACUCUAUAUAUAUCUUACUGUAUCUCUCUUACUGUAUAUCUUACUGUAUCACUCUUGCUGUGUCUCUCUUACUGUAUCUCUACUAUAUAUAUCUUACUGUAUCUCUCUUACUGUAUAUAUCUUACUGUAUCUCUCUUACUCUAUAUAUAUCUUACUGUAUCUCUCUUACUGUAUAUCUUACUGUAUCUCUCUUGCUGUAUCUCUCUUACUGUAUCUCUCUUAUUGUAUCUAUCUUACUGUAUCUCUCUUACUGUAUCUCUCUUACUGUAUAUAUCUUACUGUAUCUCUCUUACUGUAUAUAUCUUACUGUAUAUAUCUUAUUGUAUCUAUCUUACUGUAUCUAUCUUACUGUAUCUAUCUUACUGUAUCUAUCUUACUGUAUCUCUCUUACUGUAUAUAUCUUACUGUAUCUCUCUUACUGUAUCUCUCUUACUGUAUAUAUCUUACUGUAUCUCUCUUAUUGUAUCUCUCUUACUGUAUAUAUCUUACUGUAUCUCCCUUACUGUAUCUCCCUUACUGUAUCUCCCUUACUGUAUCUCCCUUACUGUAUCUCCCUUACUGUAUCUCCCUUACUGUAUCUCCCUUACUGUAUCUCUCUUACUGUAUAUCUCUUACUGUAUAUAUCUUACUGUAUCUCUCUUACUGUAUCUCUCUUAUUGUAUAUAUCUUACUGUGUCUCUCUUACUGUAUCUCUCUUACUGUAUCUCUCUUACUGUAUCUCUCUUACUGUAUAUAUCUUACUGUAUCUCCCUUACUGUAUCUCCCUUACUGUAUCUCCCUUACUGUAUCUCCCUUACUGUAUCUCCCUUACUGUAUCUCCCUUACUGUAUCUCCCUUACUGUAUCUCUCUUACUGUAUCUCUCUUACUGUAUCUCUCUUACUGUAUCUCUCUUACUGUAUAUAUCUUACUGUAUAUAUCUUACUGUAUAUAUCUUACUGUAUCUCUCUUAUUGUAUAUAUCUUACUGUGUCUCUCUUACUGUAUCUCUCUUGCUGUAUCUCUCUUACUGUAUAUAUCUUACUGUAUAUAUCUUACUGUGUCUCUCUUACUGUAUCUCUCUUACUGUAUAUAUCUUACUGUGUCUCUCUUACUGUAUCUCUCUUACUGUAUCUCUCUUACUGUAUCUCUGAACUCUGUCAGACAACACCGACUCGUUUCAAUGUGCUGGGCUGUUGGUGGGAAACCAGGUGCAGUGGGGGCAGGGAGAGGUACCGGAAGGCCCGUUACACCUGGUCACCUGCUGUCUCAGAGUGUAUUUGCAGAUCCUUGAAGUUACACUAG